CUGAACGCCUCUAAGUCAGAAUCCAUGCUGGAAGCGAUACUACUGCACUUUGAUGUAUAGAUGUGUACAAAUAAACCUUUUGGUUGAAAACCUUACUUGCGGGAUAGGGAUCAUGGCGGAAAAGCUGUGGUUUACUACCCUGUGAUGAUAAUGCUAACGAUCAAAGUGAUAAAUCGCACGCAGACGACGUGAAAUGGACGGGGUAUUGUAAGUACUAGAGUAGCCUUUGUUGCUACGAUGUACUGAGAUUAAGCCCUUGUCAUUGAAUUUGUUCCUGUAAAG
rnacentral:rRNA from 1 species